UUCAUUUGUACAUCUUUUGGUGGUUUAAUAUGUUUUCUUCUCUUCCAGAUAUAUUUGAGGCAUCUCUGUGCUGAGCUCUCUCAUCUGAAAGAGGCUGACAGCGUAUGAAGGCAGAGAAGUAUCCUUUGAUGAGAAAAUGCAAAUCCCAAACAAAACAUUUGCAGAACCACUAAUAACCAUUUCCAUGCAAUUGAGCAAUGAUAUGGUAUUUUUUAUAGAAUGACUCAAAGAUUUUUGUGUCUGGCUGGCCAUAUUGAUCUCUAGCUGUGAGAACCUGGAAAGCUGGACCACAAAUUUUGGUGCCUGUCAUAAUCUGGAUACUGCCAUCUGUGUCAUGGGAAUAAAAAUUAAGUCUCCCUGCUUGGUCCACUCUUCUGCUCUGUGAUACAUCUGAAACAAUUCCAGCUGGUGCUGGUGUUGUGGCACCAGGUCAUGCUCCCUGGAUGUGGGCUGCAAGAAAUGGGUCACUUCAGCAGAAGCUGCCAUAGGGCCCUCAGGGCAUAGACACCACUGGAGGUCAUGUGAAGCUGCACAUCCCUCUCCAGGAGCAGAAAGGAGAUCACAGUGGAUUCAGUCUGCAAACUGCCUGUGAAUGAAGGGGAGAAAUGUGCCCACACCCACGUGGACCUGCUGCAAGAGGAUGUUUUGCUCAUUCCUUCUACUUCAUUGCUCCUCACAUUCUUCUCUGGCCUAGGAAUUUGACUUUGUCUCCUGUAGUGUUUGAACAUCUAGAUGAAAACAAUGUCAGAUUUUUCCAAGGUCUCUUUCUAAAAUGAGUUAUGAAGGCAGUUUCAAGGAGUGUUAAAAAGAUGCCACUUAAUUUGAACAGUAGCAAACUUCAGCCCCAAACAGAGAAAGAAAUAUGCAGUCUUUCUCAAGACAUGUUGAGACAUCCCCCUGCAGCUGUAAUGGGUUAUCAGCACAUCUCCACCCUUUCACCAGAUGCAACCUCUUAGAGGCAACUUUGUCUUCAGACUUCAGUUGUAUAUCAUCUGAUCUCAACUAGUGUCAAAAGACCCAGGAGCUCUCUGCCUGUCUGCUGGAACAUUGAUCCACUCACCACAACUAUUUACAAGAUGUGAAGUCUUUCCUUCCCUUGCACUCUC